CGGCACGGGUGAGUAACACGUGAGUGACCUGCCUUUUAGACUGGAACAACUUACCGAAAGGUGAGCUAAUGCCGGAUGAGUUAUAUAAGUGCAUGUUUAUAUAGGAAAAGUUGGGGAGACCUGACGCUGAAAGAUGGACUCGCGUCCCAUUAGCUAGUUGGUAGGGUAAUGGCCUACCAAGGCGACGAUGGGUAGCCGGCCUGAGAGGGUGGCCGGCCACACUGGGACUGAGACACGGCCCAAACUCCUACGGAAGGCAGCAG
rnacentral:rRNA from 1 species